GCUGCAAUCUUCCUGGUGGGACUUAUCCUGGAUGAGAGAUUGUCCGAUGCCAUCUCCACGGCUAGCUGUACGGUGACGUCCAGAAAGAUCGGUGCUCGUGUGUGCGCCCUGCCAGAGGACCUGAAACUAAGAUAAGUUCUUGUGUGUGUUAUGGGGUGUAAAACGGAAACAUCUCGCAGAGAUGGGCUGGGACUAACUUGUCGUCGGUAUAAUAGGAAGUAAAUAAUUUGUGCAGCCUUUUGUGCGCUAUACAUUACAACAAAGCAAGCCUGUCUUUAACUGAUUGAAAUUUCGCUUUGUUGCUUCCAGGACCUUAUUGGUGCCAUCAAGGUGACGUCCAGAAAGAUCGGUGCUCGAGGUUACGCCCUGCCAAGGGACCUGAGACUAAGUUAAGUACUCUUGUGUCUUAUGGGGUGUAAACAUAUAGCAGAGAUGGGCUGGGACUUACUUUUCAUCAGCAUGAUAGGAAGUAAAUUAGUUGUGAUGUUUCGUUAACUGAACUCUUGGUUGUAGGUAAGGUGCUUGAGUGUGUUCUGUUGACAUUCCGAGCGAUGUUGUCGGGAGGGGUUUACAUUAGGACAUUUUGUAAAUGGAGGCUCCUUUUGCAUUCAGGGCUUCAGCCCGUUUCUGUGGUGUGCAGGCCUGGUGUGUGGCUGGUUUGGUUUCUGUGAUUAUGUCGAUGGUCGGGAUGGUAUUCGGUAAAUUAUGUCAAAUUCUGUUGUUUACAAAACAGGGUUUUCCCUGGUUCACCAUCUGUUGUCAUUUCUGUUUUAUGUCAUGGUCAGUGGUUGUCGGGGACCUAGACCAUUACAUAAUCUGCCUCGUGUUGUUUUCUUGGGUCCCGAACCAAGAGAACGGCACAGGCCAGAAAGGAGGACAGGUGACUGAAGCUCCUAUUUAAUAUUACUAGUUUAGUCGUUUAGAUAAAACUUGACAUCUCGGCGUCGACAUAGUCACAGAAACUGAAACAGCUAUGCAUUGGGCUUGUAUAUCACAAAAGCAGACUGAAGCUUUUAGUUCAGAAGUAGCCAUUGCUCUCGAAAAUUCAAGCAAAACAAAGGCAGCAUUAUGCCAAAAGCAGCAUUACUUAGGAUUUCAUCAAAGCACACUCAACACCCUGCCACCAAACAAGAGGUAAUGAUUCCUCUCGCUAUUUCUAUGUUAAAACUAGAACUGAAAUUACAAUGACAAAACAAUUGAACUUCCUGCCAUGCCAAUACAUGUACUCAUGAUGUAGCUGAGCUUUCUUUUAGUUAUAGUGUUAGGUAUAGUCUUUCCAUAUUUCUGAUUUAGGUUUAAUUUUUGUCUCGUCUUUUCUCCCGAGGAUCAUCGCACCGUAAGAAGAAAUGUCUGGCCGCGGAAAGGAAGGCGAGGACUGGCGAAGUAAGGUGCCGAACGUGAGUGAACGGGCUUCGCAGUCUUCUAUGACAAGAUUUGCUAGAAGUGUCUGGGCUUGGUAAGCGAGGAAAUAAAGGCACAGGGGAAUGGAGGUUUCAAAGUGUCACCGUUACUGCAAGUGCUUCGUGACAACAUCCGGUGCAUCACCAAGCCAGGGCACAAGUCUUUCCCGACAUAAACAAGCAAUAUCUGGACGUUGCCGGUACCGUCACCGAAGGCGCUUCACAACAUCCGAGGAGACGGUGGUCCUGGCGGAAGGCGCAUUAGUGUUUCCCCUCGUAGCUGGAUUUCAGUAGCUUCUUGAGAUGACAUAACUGGAUGUAAAUCAGAUCUGCAAACCGGACAUUUGAGAAGAAAUGUCUGGACGUCAUAAGGAAGGAGAGGUCCAAAGCGUCACCGUCACUGACAUGACAAUAUCGUGCUUCGUGACGACACCAAGUGCAUCACCAAGGAGGACUGGGUUGAACAGUUUAGUUGUGAGUCAGAUGCGUGUAUACGUUCCGGCCCAGCCCUACUUCUGCACCUGUCUUGGAGGGAGGAAGCAGACCACGAGACUGUUGAUAGUCACAUAAGUUGGGAAGGAGACAUCUCACAGCAUCUUCCAGGGCCGCAUUGAUGCCAUGAAUUCCUGAUCAACCACAGCUGCAAUGUUCAUGGUGGGACUUAUCCUGGUGAGAAAUUGUCCGACGCCAUUUCCACGGUGACGUCCAGAAAGAUCGGUGCUCGUGCGCCCUGCGAUCUGAGUGAUGUAGUCAGUAGGGCGUUAGGACAUUUUGUAAAUGUAGGCUCCUUUUGCUCUCAGCUAGGGCUAAUGCCCGUUUUUGUGGUGUACAAGCUUGGAGUGUGGCUGAUUUUGUUUGUGACUGUGUCGAUGGCCGAAAUUGUAUUCAGUUACUGUUAAUUCUGUUCUUUAUGAACAGGGUUUUCCCUGGUUCACCAUCUGUCGUCAUUUCUGUUUUAUGUCAUGGUCAGUGGUUGUCGGGGACCUAGACCAUUACAUAAUCUGCCUCGUGUUGUUUUCUUGGAUCCCGAACCAAGAGAACGGCACAGGCCAGAAAGAAAGGCAGGUGGUUGAAAAGCCUUUUUUUAUGUAAGAAUUUUAGUCCUUUAGAAAUCUUGGUAUCUACGCAGUCACAGAAACUGAAUCAAUACAAACAGAAUGCAAAGUGUACAAUUUUACAGUUAUCAUGUAUAUCACGAUGUUAGAUACAUGAACAUAAUAGUUAAGCUUACUUACGUUAGGUGUUAGGUAUAGUUUCCCCCAUUUCUGAGUGAAGGUCUCGUCUUUUUUUUUAAAGAGGCUUGGAGAUGUAGUGUUAUUUAGGCGCUUUUUGUUAGCAGCCUCUGUUUUUUAGUGUAUUUGUUUGAUGCCAUUCCAGUACAGGGGUGGCUGUCGCUGGAUUGUUUUUUGUGUUUCACUUUUUUAUUGUCGCAGAAAAGUGUUAGAAUUCUGUAAAUGUCAACAUUGUCCGUUUAUUGUGUAGAGGUUGCAGCCCUUUUAAUCAGUUGUUUGGAAAUUUCCCUAGUAACUGAGGCUAAGGAUGGCGCUGACACCAACACAAGACAGACACAUACACACUAACAGACUAACCCCACCAAACACACACUCAAGCAACAUUUUUGACGGACACUAAUCAGCAAAUGCCUUAGCCUUAGACUGAAAAAAGUCUAUGAUUCUUUAAGUACAAAGGCUCCACGCUACCUCUAUACCAUGUACUGACAAUGUCAAUAUUUACUGAUUUUAGCUUUUUUUAUCCACUAUGUCCUAGAGUGAGGGUAAUUGUUAACCUAAAUGGGUUAGAUGUUAAGUUCAUUUUGUAUGCUAGAGUAUCUUCAUUUUUCAUGCGGUUUAUAUAUUAUACACUUUGCAUUUCUGUAUUUUGCUAUUAAACAAAUAUGCUGAAGUCGGA